ACGUUUGCUCAUUUUGUUUAGUAGUUGUUGUCAAAUCUGAUUUUUUCUUCAAUCAGGUGUCUCAGUUAGGUGAACGGGUUGAAAAUGAGUGGUGGCAAGAAAAAGAAGCAGUCAUCUCUUCUGGCUGGAAAUGGUUUUUCAAAUAUAUCUUUAGUAGUAAGUCGUGUUGCAUAUGAUAUAGCAGGAGUCGGCAAUAGUGUUGUUUCAGAAUCAGGUAAGUUGACUAUAUUUAACAAUAUUCCUAAACAGGAACAACUUAAUUUGUACUUGUCUUUU
rnacentral:lncRNA from 1 species